GUGUCUCAGUUAGAAAGCAGAGAUGAUUAGCACUCCCCUUAAUAAAAAUUGAAGAGGUCCUAGUGGUCUUCACAACAUAUAUACAGUUAAGAUAUUGCCACCUAUUCUGUGGCAUCCUACCAUGUCAUAUA